rnacentral:rRNA from 1 species
AGAGUUUGAUCCUGGCUCAGAUUGAACGCUGGCGGCAUGCCUAACACAUGCAAGUCGAACGGUAACAGAUAAGAUGAUCUCUUCGGAGUGAAUCUUUGCUGACGAGUGGCGGACGGGUGAGUAAUGCUUGGGAAUCUGCCCAAUAGUGGGGGAAAACUCGGGGAAACCCGGGCUAAUACCGCAUAAUCUCUACGGAGGAAAGAGGGCCUCUACAUGUAAGCUCUCGCUAAUGGAUGAGCCCAAGUCAGAUUAGCUAGUUGGUAAGGUAAUGGCUUACCAAGGCUACGAUCUGUAGCUGGUCUGAGAGGAUGAUCAGCCACACUGGGACUGAGACACGGCCCAGACUCCUACGGGAGGCAGCAGUGGGGAAUAUUGCACAAUGGGCGCAAGCCUGAUGCAGCAAUGCCGCGUGUGUGAAGAAGGCUCUAGGGUUGUAAAGCACUUUCAAUAGAGAAGAAAAGCUUGAAAUUAAUACUUUCAAGCCUUGACGUAAUCUAUACAAGAAGCACCGGCUAAUUCCGUGCCAGCAGCCGCGGUAAUACGGGAGGUGCGAGCGUUAAUCGGAAUUACUG